rnacentral:rRNA from 1 species
GAUGAACGCUAGCUACGAGGCUUAACACAUGCAAGUCGCGGGGCAGCAUGAAUUUAGCUUGCUAAAUUUGAUGGCGACCGGCGCACGGGUGAGUAACGCGUAUCCAACCUUCCCCNGUCCACGGGAUAGCCCGUCGAAAGGCGGAUUAAUACCGUAUGAGGUCACACGAUGGCAUCAGACUGUGACGAAAGGUUUCGGCCGGUUGCGGAUGGGGGAUGCGUCCGAUUAGCUUGACGGCGGGGUAACGGCCCACCGUGGCAUCGAUCGGUAGGGGUUCUGAGAGGAAGGUCCCCCCACAUUGGAACUGAGACACGGUCCAAACUCCUACGGGAGGCAGCAGUGAGGAAUAUUGGUCAAUGGGCGGAAGCCUGAACCAGCCAAGUAGCGUGAAGGACGACUGCCCUAUGGGUUGUAAACUUCUUUUAUGCGGGGAUAAAGUUCGCCACGUGUGGCGUUUUGCAGGUACCGCAUGAAUAAGGACCGGCUAAUUCCGUG